GUCUGGAAAGGCGCGCGAUACAGGGUGACAGCCCCGUACACAAAAGCGCAUGUGCUGUGAGCUCGAUGAGUAGGGCGGGACACGUGGUAUCCUGUCUGAAUAUGGGGGGACCAUCCUCCAAGGCUAAAUACUCCUGACUGACCGAUAGUGAACCAGUACCGUGAGGGAAAGGCGAAAAGAACCCCGGCGAGGGGAGUGAAAAAGAACCUGAAACCGUGUACGUACAAGCAGUGGGAGCACAGGUUUACCUGUGUGACUGCGUACCUUUUGUAUAAUGGGUCAGCGACUUAUAUUCUGUAGCAAGGUUAACCGUAUAGGGGAGCCGGAGGGAAACCGAGUCUUAACCGGGCGUUAAGUUGCAGGGUAUAGACCCGAAACCCGGUGAUCUAGCCAUGGGCAGGUUGAAGGUUGGGUAACACUAACUGGAGGACCGAACCGACUAAUGUUGAAAAAUUAGCGGAUGACCUGUGGCUGGGGGUGAAAGGCCAAUCAAACCGGGAGAUAGCUGGUUCUCCCCGAAAGCUAUUUAGGUAGCGCCUCGUGAAUUCAUCUCCGGGGGUAGAGCACUGUUUCGGCUAGGGGGCCAUCCCGGCUUACCAACCCGAUGCAAACUGCGAAUACCGGAGAAUGUUAUCACGGGAGACACACGGCGGGUGCUAACGUCCGUCGUGAAGAGGGAAACAACCCAGACCGCCAGCUAAGGUCCCAAAGUCAUGGUUAAGUGGGAAACGAUGUGGGAAGGCCCAGACAGCCAGGAUGUUGGCUUAGAAGCAGCCAUCAUUUAAAGAAAGCGUAAUAGCUCACUGGUCGAGUCGGCCUGCGCGGAAGAUGUAACGGGGCUAAACCAUGCACCGAAGCUGCGGCAGCGACACUCAGGUGUUGUUGGGUAGGGGAGCGUUCUGUAAGCCUGUGAAGGUGGCCUGUGAGGGUUGCUGGAGGUAUCAGAAGUGCGAAUGCUGACAUAAGUAACGAUAAAGCGGGUGAAAAGCCCGCUCGCCGGAAGACCAAGGGUUCCUGUCCAACGUUAAUCGGGGCAGGGUGAGUCGACCCCUAAGGCGAGGCCGAAAGGCGUAGUCGAUGGGAAACGGGUUAAUAUUCCCGUACUUGGUGUUACUGCGAAGGGGGGGACGGAGAAGGCUAUGUUGGCCGGGCGACGGUUGUCCCGGUUUAAGCGUGUAGGUGUGUGUUCCAGGUAAAUCCGGUUCACUUUAACACUGAGGCGUGACGACGAGGCACUACGGUGCUGAAGCAACAAAUGCCCUGCUUCCAGGAAAAGCCUCUAAGCAUCAGGUAACAUCAAAUCGUACCCCAAACCGACACAGGUGGUCAGGUAGAGAAUACCAAGGCGCUUGAGAGAACUCGGGUGAAGGAACUAGGCAAAAUGGUGCCGUAACUUCGGGAGAAGGCACGCUGACACGUAGGUGAAGUGAUUUACUCAUGGAGCUGAAGUCAGUCGAAGAUACCAGCUGGCUGCAACUGUUUAUUAAAAACACAGCACUGUGCAAACACGAAAGUGGACGUAUACGGUGUGACGCCUGCCCGGUGCCGGAAGGUUAAUUGAUGGGGU
rnacentral:rRNA from 2 species